GCUUUAUAUGGAAAACUAAAAAAGUAAUUACAUUUAAAAAUUAUUACAUUACUCUUAAAAAUACACACACUAAUGUAAUUCGUUUAAAAAAAAAGGUCCUUCAUGUAAAUUUUAACAAAUUUAAAGACAGUUUCAAUUAACUGAGAAACUGUAUGCCCUCACCAUUACUGUAGACAAAAAUGCAACAUACAUCGCAAAUAAGAAACAGUCACACACUAAAGAAUUUCCAAGGAAAUGUUAUCACAAAAUAUAUCUCAGUAAAAACAUUUUAAAAAAAAAACACUGGACAAAACAUUCAACAAAUAAUGAUAUUCCUACAACAGAUUUACAUGGAUUAUUUUUUUCUUUAACGUUGUCUGGGCAUAAGUUACUUUAUCUUACAUUCCACACCAUGUCAAGGUCAGACAUUUUGUUUUUCUUUGACAAUGGCGAGGAGUGGUGUCACCUCUACACUUGCCCUCAGGCUAGAGUCCUUAACAUAAUCUGAAAUGUGCAUGGAUUCCCACAGGCAGAAAUCAGGGAGUGGACAAAAUUACAGAAACACCACAUGGGAAAGGACCGUUACUUUAGUAACUAAACCACAAUCACAAACCUUCCGAGGUCACAUCAAGUUCAUUGCCAUUUAGCAUGACAUACUGACAGGUGACAAGAAAACUCAAUAAAUGAUGGGAUGAACAUCAAUGCAGAUGCCUUCCUGUAAGUGCAUGAUAUAUUUAAGGAGGUAUUAAAAUACAGAGCAGGCCCAGGUGACCUAGAUUUUGGAUCAAGACGGCAAGAGGAAAAGGGAUCUAAGGGACUGGAUUCAGAUCUAAGGGACUGGAUUCAGAUCUAAGGGACUGGAUUCAGAUCUAAGGGACUGGAUUCAGAUCUAAGGGACUGGAUUCAGAUCUAAGGGACUGGAUUCAGAUCUAAGGGACUCCAUUGUUGGGGCACAGUCACAAAGACUGCUCAGCUAGACAGUGUUUCAACAGGAAGUGACUAAAGUUACUCCUAUAUUUAGAUCAAUAGGACAGCAAAAUGUGUUGGAUAUUGUGGUCGAAAGCACACAUUCGAUGAAUGUUAUACUGCGAUAUGUCAGGUAUAACAGGAAAUGCAACAAUUUCUCAGGUGACUGAGAAUGUUAAUGCAGGACGUGAUCAGACUGUCAGCAAGAACAGUCCAUGGAGAACUACAGAGGGACAUUAUAGUACAACUACACAGAGAGGGACAUUAUAGUACAACUACACAGAGAGGGACAUUAUAGUACAACUACUCAGAGGGACAUUAUAGUACAACUACUCAGAG
ensembl:lncRNA